rnacentral:rRNA from 1 species
CGGACGAACGCUGGCGGCGUGGAUUAGGCAUGCAAGUCGGACGGUAGGGCUUUAUCGUAAGAUAGAGUUUGAGAGUGGCGAACGGGUGAGUAACACGUAGGAAUCUACCCUUAAGACGGGGACAACCCAGGGAAACUUGGGCUAAUACCGGAUGAGAGUGCGAGAGAUUGCAUUUAAAAGGAUGGCGAAAGUUGUCGCUUAGGGAUGAGCCUGCGGUCUAUUAGUUAGUUGGUGAGGUAAGAGCUCACCAAGGCGAUGAUAGAUAGGCGGCCUUAACGGGUGGUCGCCCACACUGGGAUUGAGAUACGGCCCAGACUCCUACGGGAGGCAGCAGUUGGGAAUCUUAGGCAAUGGACGAAAGUCUGACCUAGCGACGCCGCGUGAGGGAAGAAGGCCUUCGGGUUGUAAACCUCUGUCAUGGGGGAAGAAGGAAGUGACGGUACCCCAAGAGGAAGCCCCUGCUAACUACGUG